rnacentral:rRNA from 1 species
UACGAAGGGGGCUAGCGUUGCUCGGAAUUACUGGGCGUAAAGGGCCAGUAGGCGGCCAACUAAGUCCGACGUGAAAUCCCCAGGCUUAACCUGGGAACUGCGUCGGAUACUGGAUGGCUUGAAUUCGGGAGAGGGAUGCAGAAUUCCAGGUGUAGCGGUGAAAUGCGUAGAUAUCUGGAGGAAUACCGGUGGCGAAGGCGCAUCCUGGACCGACAUUGACGCUGAACGGCGAAAGCUAGGGGAGCAAACGGG